rnacentral:rRNA from 1 species
CUNCUAACGCGGCUGGUAGGCUAAACACAUGCAAGUCGAACGGAAACGAUGAAAAGCUUGCUUUUCAGGCGUCGAGUGGCGGACGGGUGAGUAACGCGUGGGAAUCUACCCUAUAGUUGGGGACAACAUAUGGAAACGUAUGCUAAUACCGAAUAAGCUCUACGGAGUAAAGGAGCCCACUUCCUGAAAGGUUUCGCUAUAGGAUGAGCCCGCGUUAGAUUAGCUAGUUGGUAAGGUAACGGCUUACCAGGCCACGAUCUAUAGCUGGUUUGAGAGGAUGAUCAGCCACACUGGGACUGAGACACGGCCCAGACUCCUACGGGAGGCAGCAGUGGGGAAUAUUGCACAAUGGACGCAAGUCUGAUGCAGCCAUACCGCGUGUGUGAAGAAGGCCCGAGGGUUGUAAAGCACUUUCAGUAGGGAGGAAGAUACUAGGGUUAAUACCCCUAUUAUUUGACGUUACCUACAGAAGAAGCACCGGCUAACUCUGUGCCAGCAGCCGCGGUAAUACAGAGGGUGCAAGCGUUAUUCGGAAUUACUGGGCGUAAAGCGCGCGUAGGCGGAUGAUUAAGUCAGUUGUGAAAGCCCUGGGCUCAACCUAGGAACGGCAUCUGAUACUGGUCAUCUAGAGUUUAAGAGAGGGAAGUGGAAUUCCAGGUGUAGCAGUGAAAUGCGUAAAUAUCUGGAGGAACAUCAGUGGCGAAGGCGAUUCCUGGCUUAAAACUGACGCUGAGGUGCGAAAGCGUGGGUNACGAACGGGAUUAGAUNCC